rnacentral:tRNA from 1 species
GCCCAGUUAGCUCAGUUGGUAGAGCAGAGGACUGAAAAUCCUCGUGUCUCUGCUUCGAUUCCGGAACUGGGCA